UAACGUUUGUGUGAAAAGGCAUAAAUAAUUUAGUGGGACGAUAAGACCCUAUAAAAUUUGACAUAUUAGUUUAUUUAUCAUAAUUGUUUAUUAAUUGUUAUUUGGACGUGUGUGUUUUGCUGGGGCGGCAUGAAUAUAAUAGUAACUGUUCAUUAUACUUAACAUUAAUAUGUGGAUUUUGGUCCUUUACUGAAGAGGAAAGAAUAAGUUACUUUAGGGAUAAC
rnacentral:rRNA from 1 species